CUACACGGGUAUCUAAUCCCUUUCGCUACCUACGCUUUCGUGCCUCAGCGUCAGAUUUUGUCCAGUAAGCUGCCUUCGCCUUAAGUGUUCCUCCUGAUAUCUGUGCAUUUCACCGCUCCACCAGGAAUUCCGCUUACCCCUCCAAAUCUCUAGAUAAACAGUUUCAGGCGCAGUUCCAAGGUUGAGCCUCGGGAUUUCACACCUGACAUAUCUAUCCGCCUACGCACGCUUUACGCCCAGUAAAUCCGAGUAACGCUUGCAGUCUCCGUAUUACCGCGGCGGCUGGCAC
rnacentral:rRNA from 1 species